rnacentral:rRNA from 1 species
UACGAAGGGGGCUAGCGUUGCUCGGAAUCACUGGGCGUAAAGGGCGCGUAGGCGGCCAUUCAAGUCAGGGGUGAAAGCCUGUGGCUCAACCACAGAAUUGCCUUUGAUACUGUUUGGCUAGAGACCGGAAGAGGUAAGUGGAACUGCGAGUGUAGAGGUGAAAUUCGUAGAUAUUCGCAAGAACACCAGUGGCGAAGGCGGCUUACUGGUCCGGUUCUGACGCUGAGGAGCGAAAGCAUGGGGAGCGAACAGG